GCACAACCAGAGCAAAAGAGGAGCUGGGGAACGCGGUGCGGCUGCUGCUCUCAGAGAGGAGCUGGAUUUGCAGAGCAGACGGGACGGGAUGAAAAUUCUAUGAAUUGAGCUCUGUGAAGGACACACCGACAAGGAGAGUGUUUGAGAGAUGAAUGAAUGGGUGAGCAAGAGCAAAUCAAACUGCUGCUGCGAG